rnacentral:rRNA from 1 species
AUUGAACGCUGGCGGAAUGCUUUACACAUGCAAGUCGAGCGGCAGCGCGGGGGCAACCCUGGCGGCGAGCGGCGAACGGGUGAGUAACAUAUCGGAACGUACCCAUCGGUGGGGGAUAACUAUCCGAAAGGAUAGCUAAUACCCGCAUACGUCCUGAGGGGAGAAAGCGGGGGAUCGCAAGACCUCGCGCGAUUGGAGCGGCCGAUAUCGGAUUAGCUAGUUGGUGGGGUAAAGGCUCACCAAGGCGACGAUCCGUAGCGGGUCUGAGAGGACGACCCGCCACACUGGAACUGAGACACGGUCCAGACUCCUACGGGAGGCAGCAGUGGGUAAUUUGGACAAUGGGGCAACCCUGAUCCAGCCAUUCCGCGUGAGUGAAGAAGGCCUUCGGGUUGUAAAGCUCUUUCAGCAGGAACGAAACGGUGGUCCCUAAUACGGACUACUAAUGACGGUACCUGAAGAAGAAGCACCGGCUAACUACGUG